AACGAACGCUGGCGGCGCGUUUUAAGCAUGCAAGUCGAACGGUAGAGAAACUUCGGUUUCUUGAGAGUGGCGAACGGGUGAGUAACACGUAGAUGAUCUGCCUUGAAGUUGGGGAUAGCCUAUAGAAAUAUAGGGUAAUACCGAAUAAUUUUUUACUACUUUGGUAGUUUAAGGAAAGGGGCUUCGGCCUCGCUUUAAAGAUGAGUCUGCGGUCUAUUAGCUAGUUGGUAGGGUAAUAGCCUACCAAGGCGACGAUAGAUAGCCGGCCUGAGAGGGUGACCGGCCACAUUGGGACUGAGACACGGCCCAAACUCCUACGGGAGGCAGCAGCUAAGAAUCUUCCGCAAUGGGCGAAAAGCCUUGACGGAGCGACGCCGCGUGGACGAAGAAUGCCGAGAGGUUGUAAAGUCCUUUUAUUUGCGAAGAAUAAUGCCUGUAGGUAAUGACAGGCAGAUGACGUUAGCUUAUGAAUAAGCUCCGGCCAAUUACGUGCCAGCAGCCGCGGUUAA
rnacentral:rRNA from 1 species